AUUGAACGCUGGCGGCAGGCCUAACACAUGCAAGUCGAGCGGAUGAAGGGAGCUUGCUCCUGGAUUCAGCGGCGGACGGGUGAGUAAUGCCUAGGAAUCUGCCUGGUAGUGGGGGAUAACGUCCGGAAACGGGCGCUAAUACCGCAUACGUCCUGAGGGAGAAAGUGGGGGAUCUUCGGACCUCACGCUAUCAGAUGAGCCUAGGUCGAAUUAGCUAGUUGGUGGGGUAAAGGCCUACCAAGGCGACGAUCCGUAACUGGUCUGAGAGGAUGAUCAGUCACACUGGAACUGGGACACGGUCCAGACUCCUACGGGAGGCAGCAGUGGGGAAUAUUGGACAAUGGGCGAAAGCCUGAUCCAGCCAUGCCGCGUGUGUGAAGAAGGUCUUCGGAUUGUAAAGCACUUUAAGUUGGGAGGAAGGGCAGUAAGUUAAUACCUUGCUGUUUUGACGUUACCAACAGAAUAAGCACCGGCUAACUUCGUG
rnacentral:rRNA from 1 species